rnacentral:rRNA from 1 species
GAUGAACGCUGGCGGCGUGCUUAACACAUGCAAGUCGAACGAGAAGUGGAGACGGAAACCUUCGGGCGGAAGACUUUACUUCGAGUGGCGGACGGGUGAGUAACGCGUGGGUAACCUGCCUCAUACAGGGGGAUAACAGUUGGAAACGACUGUUAAUACCGCAUAAGACCACAGCACCGCAUGGUGCGGGGGUAAAAACUCCGGUGGUAUGAGAUGGACCCGCGUUCGAUUAGCCAGUUGGCGGGGUAACGGCCCACCAAAGCGACGAUCGAUAGCCGAUCUGAGAGGAUGACCGGCAACAUUGGGACUGAGACACGGCCCAAACUCCUACGGGAGGCAGCAGUGGGGAAUAUUGCACAAUGGGGGAAACCCUGAUGCAGCGACGCCGCGUGAGUGAAGAAGUAUUUCGGUAUGUAAAGCUCUAUCAGCAGGGAAGAAAAUGACAGUACCUGAGUAAGAAGCCCCGGCUAACUACGUG